GGCUUGUGGCUCAGUGGUAGAGCACUUGCCUAGCAUGUAUGAGGUACUGGGUUUGAUACCCAGCACCA
rnacentral:tRNA from 1 species